rnacentral:rRNA from 1 species
GACGAACGCUGGCGGCGUGCUUAACACAUGCAAGUCGAACGGAAAGGCCCUGCUUUUGUGGGGUGCUCGAGUGGCGAACGGGUGAGUAACACGUGAGUAACCUGCCCUUGACUUUGGGAUAACUUCAGGAAACUGGGGCUAAUACCGGAUAGGAGCUCCUGCUGCAUGGUGGGGGUUGGACAGUUUCGGCGGUUGGGGAUGGACUCGCGGCUUAUCAGCUUGUUGGUGGGGUAGUGGCUUACCAAGGCUUUGACGGGUAGCCGGCCUGAGAGGGUGACCGGCCACAGUGGGACUGAGAUACGGCCCAGACUCCUACGGGAGGCAGCAGUGGGGAAUAUUGCACAAUGGGCGGAAGCCUGAUGCAGCAACGCCGCGUGCGGGAUGACGGCCUUCGGGUUGUAAACCGCUUUCGCCUGUGACGAAGCGUGAGUGACGGUAAUGGGUAAAGAAGCACCGGCUAACUACGUG